UCAUAUGCUUGUCUUAAAGAUUAAGCCAUGCAUGUCUAAGUAUAAGCUUUUAUACGGCUAAACUGCGAAUGGCUCAUUAAAACAGUUAUAGUUUAUUUGAUGGUCUUUACUACAUGGAUAACCGUGGUAAUUCUAUGGCUAAUACAUGCGCACAUGCCUCUUCCCCUGGAAGGGCAGUGUUUAUUAGAUACAGAACCAACCCACCUUCCGGUGGUCCUCGAGGUGAUUCAUAGUAACCGAACGGAUCGCGUUGACUUCGGUCUGCGACGGAUCAUUCAAGUUUCUGACCUAUCAGCUUUCGACGGUACUGUAUUGGACUACCGUGGCAGUGACGGGUAACGGGGAAUUAGGGUUCGAUUCCGGAGAGGGAGCCUGAGAAACGGCUACCACAUCUAAGGAAGGCAGCAGGCGCGCAAAUUACCCAAUCCUGAUUCAGGGAGGUAGUGACAAGAAAUAACAACACUGGAAAUUUCAUUUCUAGUGAUUGGAAUGAUAGGAAUCCAAACCCCUUUCAGAGUAACAAUUGGAGGGCAAGUCUGGUGCCAGCAGCCGCGGUAAUUCCAGCUCCAAUAGCGUAUAUUAAAGUUGUUGCAGUUAAAAAGCUCGUAGUUGGAUUUCUGCUGGAAGCAGCCAGUCCGCCCUCAGGGGUGUGCACUUGGUGAAUUCUAGCAUCCUUCUGGAUUUCUCCACACUUCAUUGUGUGGAGUUUUUUCCAGGACUUUUACUUUGAG